UUUGUACUCCCUCCGUCCGAAAAUACUUGCCAUCAAAAUGGACAAAAAAAGAUGUAUCUAGAACUAAAAUACAUCUAGAUACAUCUCCUUUUAUCCAUUUUGAUGACAAGUAUUUCCGGACAGAGAGAGUAUGUC
rnacentral:pre_miRNA from 1 species